rnacentral:rRNA from 1 species
CCUACGGGUGGCAGCAGUGAGGAAUAUUGGUCAAUGGGCGGAAGCCUGAACCAGCCAAGUAGCGUGCAGGAUGACGGCCCUACGGGUUGUAAACUGCUUUUAUACGGGAAUAACGCGCCUUACGUGUAGGGCUUUGCAUGUACCGUAUGAAUAAGCACCGGCUAAUUCCGUGCCAGCAGCCGCGGUAAUACGGAAGGUCCGGGCGUUAUCCGGAUUUAUUGGGUUUAAAGGGAGCGUAGGCCGCAUGUCAAGCGUGCUGUGAAAUGUCCGGGCUCAACCCGGGCCUUGCGGCGCGAACUGGCGUGCUUGAGUCCGCGGAAAGCAGGCGGAAUGCGUGGUGUAGCGGUGAAAGGCUUAGAUAUGACGAAGAACCCCGAUUGCGAAGGCAGCUUGCUGCAGCGGAACUGACGCUGAUGCUCGAAAGCGCGGGUAUCGAACAGGAUUAGAUACCCCGGUAGUC